rnacentral:lncRNA from 1 species
CUUUUGACAAGUGCAACAACACUUUUGCAAUUGAAUGGAUUUUUAGUUUCCACAAAAUGAUUCAUUUUGCAAUAGGAAUUUAGAAGCAUAUAGUUCACGGUGACUGCCCAAAGAAAGAAAAGGAAUUGUCAUCCAAGUUGGCCUUGGAAAGCUGAAACAAAAAGAAGAGAUUUGUUGGAGUCAAAUUAGAAAAAAGAGAGGUGCAUAUGGUGAUGGUCUUGCUGUACUCCACGCACACUUGAUUCAGCGUGUUUUUCUUUGCUGAAAGAAAAGAGAGCAUGUUACGGUCCAACUCCCACUUGAGAAUUGAAACAUGUCACGGCCUGGGCUUCAACAAUUACAUCCAACAAUUGAUUCAAUGGGCUGAGAAAAAAAAGCACCGGUUGAAAUACAUGGAAGCAAACAACAGCUGGAACAGAAAAUAAAAAAACACACAACAGCUUGAAAAGCACCAACACGGGCUGCACUCCACAUCUUCACACGACCCAAAGUGAGAAAGCAAACAUCAAGCUUCCAGCAGCACCCACGGUCCACCAAGGGUUUGUUUAAUUGAAGUAGACAUGUGUGCUUUAAAAAGAGGCGGCCACCACAUACACAAGAGAGAGACAACUGCCACUUAGAAGAGAGUUUUUCUUUGAACAUUGAAGGAGGAUGGAGGGUUACGGUUUGCUGUGAUUUAUUUCCUUAUAGUACAAGACGCUGAUUUCAUUUCGGUCCAGCUGUUGUUGUCACGUUCUAGGAGCAAGUGUUCAUUUUUCUUUAGAGAUGGGCACAUUUCAUUUUGGAAUAGGAUAGUUGCCACGUCCAACAUAGGAGUAGAUUCAAUUUCCUUUAGAGAAAAGAGUGCUCUGCUUUAACGGUUUGCUAAUUGCUUGAUUAUUUUUCUGCUGCUUUAAAAUUGUUCAAGCACUUUAGAAUUGAAUUUUGAUUCCACCUCAUGUGUACUUCGAUUGCAAAAGCAUUCAAUGCUCUUCUCCUUAAAGUUUCGUUCCAGCUCUCAUGCUUCCGCUUGAUAAUUGAAUAUUAAAACCUUUCCUUUUUGUUUCUUACCGUAGCAUAGAAUGAAUAAUAAAUUAAUUGCCGCUAGUUUUUCUUUGUGACUCAUAGUUUGCUCGGUUCGAUUUUAAUAAUUUACUUGUGAUGUUAGCUUAAGUUAGUUGGUUGGUCAUUAACAAAAUUACAUUGUUUCCUUAAGAUUCUUGGACUGUUCUUGUGAUUAUUCUGCUCUACCUGACAUUCUAUGAAAUCUGACUGUGUUCUUGCAACGAGUAUACGCUUAGUUGCCCAGUUGGUGAUUGCAUCUUCGCUUAAUUGAUCAAUUUGUAUAGAACACAUUGGAUGGAAUAGGUGUAUUGUGUUCGCUUAGCAUGAUUAACCUUCGCUUAGUCAGUUACUGAUGAAGGUUGAAAAACAGUUAUUUUCAUAUGCCAAUUGGGACCAAAUUACACCCUUUACUACCGGAAUGAGCUUAGAAUCAAGCAAAAGUCAAUAAAUGAGUCUGAAGAGAGUCAAAAGCUGUUUUUAGCGAUUUUAUGCUUGUUUUGCAUUGUUUUGAAGCUAAUUUGAGAAAAGUAGAGAAUGGAGUUGAAGAUACAGGUCGUUGACUCAAGAAAAGAGCAGAAAAAUGAAGAUUUGAAGAGUCGACGCACCGCCCGGCGGCACACUUAAACCGACGGGCGGUCCAGGACGAGGAGAAUGCAUGGCGGUUGACGUUGGGCGGACCUGAGGCAAACCGCCCGGCGGUGGCGAUUGCCGCCAGGCGGUAGGGCGAUUUGUGGCAAACUGCCGGGCGACACACUUAAACCGCCCGGCGGUGGCUCGCUGGACUUGGGCCCAAUUUCUGACGCACUCCUCACCUAUAUAUACCCUUAUUGCGAAUUCAGAAUCAUUCUUUUGACAUGAGAGAACGAUCAGACCUAAUUUCGCUCUUUUGUGAUUGAAGUUGAUGGAUGAAGUGCUUUUAGGUGGCCAGGGAUUCUAGCUCAGAAAGCCUUCUCUCGGAAGGAAGCUAGAGGAGCAAUGAAAAGAAGCACUAGGUUGUGACCUUUAAAGGAGUAAAGGCUGGAAAUACAUCAACAUAUCAUUUCUCUCAAGUUCAAAAGUGCCAAAACAAUGGGUACCUCUGUGAAUUUAUAAAUGAUUCACAGGGUCAGUGUGUGGCUGAUGAUGAGCACAAAUCCAUGGAGCUCAUGCCACGAAAUAUAAGAAAAGUGUGAAAGCUACAGUGCACAAAAUACACGUGCCAAUUUUGAAGACAAUCUCCACAGUUUUGCUUAGCGAAAUAGGGGGUGUGUCAAGCAAUAUUAUGCCUUUAUUUCUUUGACUCUUCUACCCUUUUCUUUGUAAUGGUAUGAUCCGUGAUGGCUUGGACAAGUCUUCUAGGUCCUCUUGACUUCAUAGAUGACUUUAUUAGUGAUGGGCUUGGGCCUUGUCUAUCACGUUCUAAGUCUUAAAGGGUGUAAUUUGGUCUAAAUUGACAUAUGAAAAUAAUUGUUUUUCAACCGUUAUCAAUGGCCUUGAUCAUAUGGAUCCUGUAAGCAAUUAGUUCAAUCACAGAAAACUUGGGCAAAAUCAUUCAUGCUUCCAAAGUGAUAACAAUUAUUAAAAAAACAACUCUGAACCCUGACAACGGUCUAAAAACCGUUAUUUUCAUACUUAAAUUUGAUAGUAAAACACACCCUUUAUGGCUUAGAAUGAGCUUUAAAUCAAGUAAAACACUUAGUUGUGUCUUGUGAGAGUCAAAAGUCUGUUUUAGCGAUAUUAUGCUUGUUUUGCAUUGUUUUGCAGGGUUUUUAGAUGAAUUAAAGAUGGAAGUGAAGCAAGGUGGACUUAGACCCAUGAAAGAAGGAGAAAAAUGAUGAAAAGAAGGGUCAAGCAAGCCGCUGAGCGCCAAAAUGGUCCGCUGAGCGCUCAGAGCGAUUAGAGGGAAACCGCUCAGUGGCAAAACUGACUGCUGAGCGGUCAAAGCGGCAAGAGGCAAAACGCUGAGCGGUGAAUUUAGGCGCCUGGGCGGUUGUCUGUUUUUUUAGUUAGAUUCUGUAAAUCUUUCUAUAAUCUAUCUGUUAUCUUUUUGGGCUUAUAUAUAGCCCUAGUGCGAAUUAGAAAGGGAUUCUUUUGGCAGAGAGAAACGUCCAGAACUAUUCCACACACCUUGGAGGAGGUUCCUUGGAUGCUUAGGCUGCAUUCAACCAAGUUUAGGGUUAUUUCUUCCAUUCUUUCAUCAUAUUUCAUCUAGAUUCACCAUGAUUAUGGUGAACUAAACCCUUUGUUGUUAGGGAACAAUGUAAUCUUUUGAAACUCUCAUAUAUUUCAAAUUCUUAUUUAUUUCAUAUGCUUGUCAGAUACUUGUUUAUCAAUUGUUGGGUUCUCAUCUAUGCUCAAUGCUUUUAUUGUUUAACUCAUUUAGUAAAAGAAGUUUGUCUUUAUUGAUAUGGGAACGUACGAUAAUGUCAUGAACUGGUGGAAAAUUCCUUGAUUAUGCCAAUAUCACCUAGGGAUAGGGGUAGGACGGUCAAUUGUAUUUGCUUUCGAUCGCAUUGCAUUAUUGGUUACUAGGGGAGGCUAGGGAUAGCAAGCCAGUAAUUAAUAAUAGGCUCUUUUCACCAAGGGAUUGGGUUAAGGGUAUACUAGAAAGUUUGCAUGGCAAUUAGAUAAAUAAGUGAAGUAAAUAAGAAAAGUAGAUAUAUGAGAGUGGAUAAGAUGAAAUUGUAAACCCCAACAACACCAUUCAUCCAUAGUUUCUCAAAACCAAUUGAAUCAACUGCAUUGCAUGUUUAUUUUUGUUCUUUGCAUAUAACCACCAAAUUUAUUCUGUCCUCAAGUCUUACACGAUUUGUUUACAUGAAAGUUAAGUCCUAAGAGUCCUUUGGGAAAAUGAUACUCAGACUUACCCGUUUAUAUUACUUGAUAACGAUCUGGUACACUUGACAGGGACUUAACAAAGCCCAAAACUCACACAAGUAAACUCCCAAGUUCCAAAAUUUAAAAAAACAUCCUGCUCAGUAUCUCAAUCAAAUUUUAUCUCAAGCACCCGUCUAACAAAUUGGGAUUUAUCACUUAUAGCACAUCAUGCAUCAUCUCAACCUCAAUCAAACACUAGAAUCUCAUAAAGCAAACCCCAUCAUAAAAUAUAGCACAAUUGAAUCAAAGCAGUUCAGUUCAUUCAAGCAGAGUACAAUAAAAUAAAAUAAAAGCAAACAUGAAAAAAAAUUAAAAAAAACAAAAAUUAAAAAUUAAAAGCAAAAGUUCAGAGAAUUGGGUUGCCUCCCAGCAAGCGCUUCUUUCACGUCACUAGCUUGACCCAAUAAGUUCAUGUCACAUCUUUAAUUUUGGUGUCAUCUUUUCCUUCAGCACACCAAUUGGUCUUCAGCAUCUUCAUGUUGACCUUCUUGGUUCUCCUAGAAGUAGGUGAUUCAAUUUCUAUCUGCCCAUCAGCUCUGAGUUCUUUCAUAACCCAGAGCUUUUUGUUGAACUAUACAGGCAAGUCCAGUCUCAACCCUUAUUGCUCUUUCAAAGGACUUUGGUGAACACCUUCUCCUUUGCUAUCUUUUUGCUCUUCAUUCACCUGUGACAAAAAACAAUUUUUACCUUUCUUCUUUGAUUUGGCAGCCUUGGUACCAGUCCCGGGUGCAUCUUUAAAUGCAGCUUUGGGACUAGUUUUCUUCACUUGAAUUUGCUUCCCAAUAUUGUAGGCAUUGAAGAUCACCUCCUCUUCUUGGUCCUUGAGAGCUAUGGUACCCUCAUAAACAUUGAUGAUUACUUUGGUCGUCUUCAUGAAUGGCUUUCUAAGAAAAAUAGGGAUCUCCGUAUUUUCCUCCAUUUCUAACACCACAAAGUCCACUAGGAAUCUUAAGUUGUUGAUUUGCACCAUCAUAUCUUUUACCACACCAUAGGGUCUUUUGGGGGAUCCAUAUGCCACGAGAAGAGACAUUCUUGCCGGCUUAACUUCCAAGUCACCAAUCUUUUUUAGAACAGUUAAGGGCAUUAGAUUGAUACUGGAUCCCAAACCAAUUAAGGCUUUUCCUAUUUUAUUGUUUCCAAUGGUGUAGUGAAGCUUCCUCGGCCUUCUACCUUAGGAGGAAGUGCUUUCUGCAAGAUCAUACUGCAAUCCUCCUGCAUCUCAGUUGUCUCCUCCAUCAGAUUUUUCUUUUUCUUGAGGAACUUCUUUAAAAACUUUGUGUAUUCAGGAAUCUGUUGCAGAGCCUCAAUCACAGGAACUUAUAUCCCUAAUUCCUUGGAGAUCUCAUCAAAACAUCCUAAUUGUAUCUCUUUUUCUCCUUAGGAACACUCUUUAGGAUGAAUUUUCUCUUUUUUUUCAAUUUUUUUGUCUUUCUCUUUUUCUUCUCUUUUUCUCUCAACCUCUUCUCUCUUUUUUUUCUCUCCUUUUUCUCUUUUUCUCUCUCCUCAUUCUCGCUUUUUUUCUCUUCUUCUUCUUUCUUUUUUGUGCAUUCUUCGUUGAGGUUAACCUCAGUAUUAGCCCCAAAGUCUUUAAAAGGCAUCUCCUUUAAUUGUUGGGCUAUUUGGCCAACCUUUAUCUCCAAGUUCCUGAUAACGGCGUCUGUGCUUUUCUGGGUAGACAAAGUUGCGUGCAUGAACUGUUGGAGAGUCUCUUCAAGCCUUGUGGUUCUGUCAAACAAAUAGGGUUGUUGCUGCCAUUGUUGCUGCUGUUGUGGUGGCCUAUUGAAUUGUCCACCAAUCUGCCCAAAUUGACUUGUCCGCUGCUUGGGUGAGAUUUCCAUUGAACUGGUUGCCCAUGUAGUUGACUUCCUCAUUAAGAUUCUUAGGCACUGCACAUUGACCAUUAAUAUGGUCACCACCACACAGCUCACAAAGUUGUUGUUGAACCCGUGCCACACUCUGAGAUUCCUUUUGUGGUUGCAUCACCUUCUUAGUCAAGAUCUCCAAUUGUUGAGUGAUGAUCUUAUUUUGGGCAAGCAAGGCAUCAUAAGCCUGUAGUUGGAAAACUCCUUUAGGUUGGGAUGAAGCUCCUCUUUCACUAUGCAUCUCAUUGUUAUUGGUAGCCAUGCUCUCAAUUAAUUCAUAGGCUUCAUCAGGGGUCUUGCAUUUGAUAUUGUCUCCAGUUGAGGCAUCCAACAUCAAUUUAGUUUGUGACCCAAGACCUCCAAAGAAAAGAAUGACUAUCGUUCCUUCAUCAAAACCAUGGGUAGGCGUCUUUCUCAGCAGGCUUUUGUAUCUAUCUCAUGCCUGUCCCAAGGCUUCCUCCGUGCUUGCCUAAAAGAAGAGAUCUCUUGCUUCCCUUUGUUGAUUUUUUUUUUUAUUGUGGGAAGUAUUUGUUCAGAAAUUUUGUCACCGCAUCUUCCCACCUAGUGAAACUGUUCUCAAGAAAAGAGUUCAACCAUACUUUAGCAUUACCUCCAAGAGAAAAGGGGAACAAACUCACUUUUAUAGCCUCAUCUAGUACCCCAUUUAUUUUCACAGUGUUGCAUAUCUCAUUGAAGGUGGUCAGGUGCUCAUAUGGACUUUCAUGAGACAGUCCAUUGAAUUGGUUUCUCUUCACAAGGUGGAUCAAAGCAGGCUUCUGUUAACUCUUUGGCAAGUGUACCAAAUCGUCUAAAGUAAUAAACCGGUAAGACCGGAAAUCGUUUCCCAAGAGACUCGUGAAACUAGACAAUCGUAUAAUUUCUAACUAACCUAGACUAAAGAAUGUUUCCAUAAUUUGAGAUUUAGUGAAAUUAAAGUAACUAUAAAACAUAAAUGAUAAAAGUGAUCUUAAGCACUCAAACACUUUGAAAUGGAGAGAUUAGAAAUGCAAUGGAAUGAUAUUGUUGGGGGUAUGAUUUCACCUACUUCACUCUUAUGCAUAGAAAAUCACUUCCUCUUCAUUGAUGUGUUAAUGUCAAUCUACUAAUUUACUCAAACCCCAACCCCUUGGUAGAAAGAGCCUAGACUUCCUCAUUAGACUCCAAUCCCUUGGAAAACCUAAUGAUUAAUUCCGCAUUAAGAAAUGAGAUUUUAAGACAUCCAAAGGUCCUAGUUCUAUCCCUAGAUACUAUUUCCUUUAGGUGUUUAACCCAAGUCAAGGUUUACCCAAUAUUUCCCAAUAUCAAGAAACCCUAAAUCAUGUCAUGAGUAGCAACUUCACAACAAGCAUUAAGAAAAGGAAUUAAACACUAACAAUCAAUGAAAGAGGUAUAUAUUCAUUCAAAACAACAUGCUUUACAUAAGAGUUUAGUGGUUACAUCAAUCCCCCAACAAUAAUGAAACUAGCUCUCCAUGAAUGGAGAGCUCAAGCUUACAACAAUGGUGGAAAUGGAAGAAAGAAGAGAACCCAAGGAAGAAGAAGGACUGUUCCCACAACUCCUAGCUCGCUCCAAGAGCUCCCAAUCAGAGNNNNNNNNNNNNNNNNNNNNNNNNNNNNNNNNNNNNNNNNNNNNNNNNNNNNNNNNNNNNNNNNNNNNNNNNNNNNNNNNNNNNNNNNNNNNNNNNNNNNNNNNNNNNNNNNNNNNNNNNNNNNNNNNNNNNNNNNNNNNNNNNNNNNNNNNNNNNNNNNNNNNNNNNNNNNNNNNNNNNNNNNNNNNNNNNNNNNNNNNNNNNNNNNNNNNNNNNNNNNNNNNNNNNNNNNNNNNNNNNNNNNNNNNNNNNNNNNNNNNNNNNNNNNNNNNNNNNNNNNNNNNNNNNNNNNNNNNNNNNNNNNNNNNNNNNNNNNNNNNNNNNNNNNNNNNNNNNNNNNNNNNNNNNNNNNNNNNNNNNNNNNNNNNNNNNNNNNNNNNNNNNNNNNNNNNNNNNNNNNNNNNNNNNNNNNNNNNNNNNNNNNNNNNNNNNNNNNNNNNNNNNNNNNNNNNNNNNNNNNNNNNNNNNNNNNNNNNNNNNNNNNNNNNNNNNNNNNNNNNNNNNNNNNNNNNNNNNNNNNNNNNNAAUUUCUCUUGAUUCAUCACUGAAAUCAUGGUAAAAUAUGUCAUUAUCAGCUUCAUCUCCAUAUUUGCAGCGUUGACCCUUGGCUUUGCAAUGUUGUUAAAAUGAUGAGGGCAAACAACUAUGGUGUAAUCGUCCAAGGUGUGCCUGCUAACAUUUUUCUUUGUACUUCCUUCACCAGUUUGGGAAGCCAUUGAAAUUUUCUUUAGAGAAGAUUCUAUAGAUAAUUUAUUCCCUCACAAAACCCUAGAAAAUAUUGUUAAUAUAAAAAUAAAAAUAAAAUGAAUAAAACACAAAUUAAAAAAAUAAAGAUUAUAAAUUAAAGAUUAAAAAAAGAAAACCAAAAUAAUAAAAUUAAAAAAAAUAAAAAUAAAGGAGAAUAAAAUAAAAAUAAAAUAAAGUCAAAAUUAAUCAAGGAUCAAACAAAUAGAAUAGCUUAAACCGUGAGUCUCCAGCAACGAUGCCAAAACCUUGUUGGGACAAAUCAGCAAGUGUACCGAGUCGCACAAGUAAUAUAAAAUGGUAAGAACAUGUAUCAUAUCCCAGAGGACUCUCGACACUUAACAGUUGUGUGAAAACAAGAUUAAUUAAGACUUAAAAAUAAAAAGAGAUCAUUGGGUUUGGAAAAAAUAAUAAAAUAAAAUAAAAUAAAGUAAAAUUGAUCAGUGGCAAAAGAGCACCGAGAUGAAUGGAGGUCGAUUUAUAUGAGAUGGGUAUGUUGUUAGGGUUAGAUUUCACCAAAUUCCCUCUCAUGUAUAUAAGAAUUCUUCUUUAUGCAUUAAUACCAGCGUCCCUCACUAAAUCACCUAAAUUUGAUCCCUCGAUAAAUAAGUUUGUCCCUAAUUACCAGUUCAUACAUUUCCUAGCAUUCCUGGUAAAAAGAUGUGAAGAUCAAGAGGUUAAGACGACUAAGACUCAUACCCUCAUCCCUAAGCAAUAUAACCCUUAGGAGUAAUUCAACAAGAACCUGAAUUGAAAGGAACCUCCUGGCACUCAUGCAAUUAAUAAAUAAUGCUAUUGAAAGCAAGAAUAAAAAUAGAUGAAUUACUCUAACAAUUAAUGAAAAAGCAUAUGGAAUUAAGAAUCAAUUCAAAUACAUGAGAGUUUACAAGGUUACAUCAUUCCCCAACAAUAAAUAGAAAUUAGUUCACCAUAGACAUGGGGGAACUCUAUGAACAAUGGAAGAAAGAAUGAGAAUGAAAGCCUAAGAAUUGGGAAAAGAGUGUAUUGUUAUGGUCUUCUCUACCAGGGAUGCAAAACCUAGAGUCAUAGGGUCCUUUAAAUAGUGUCAGAGGCGUGCCAGAGCACGACCCGGUCCAAAAGAAUCGAGACAAAGCAGAAACAGGGCCCAGUCCACGAAAACCGUCGCCCAAGUGUCCAAGGAGGUCGCCCGGGCGAGAAUUGAACUUCAUGUAAGGUCUGGGCAUUGAAAUUGGCCGCCCAAGUGAUAACGGUUGAAAAACAAUUAUUUUCAUACUUGAUUUUGAUAUUAAAUCACACCCUUUAUGGCUUAGAAUUAGCUUGAAAUCAUGCAUUUUUAUUAAGUUAGAGAAUAAGAGAAUCAAAGAUGGUUUUAUGCUUGGUUUCCCAUGAUUUUGUAGGUUUAUUGAAUGAUUUGAAAGAAGGAUUGAAUUAUCAAAGAGUUGUAGUGCAGAAAAGUCAACCAGAAUGCAGAAUAGUCAACCAGAAAAGUCAACCAGUUGACCAGAAUGCUGAAAAGUUGACCAGAGUGCAGUUGACUAGCGUUGAGCGGUGAAAAUGGGCGUUGAGCGGCAGUUUUGGGCGCUGAGCGAUCCUGCGAUUAAGGGGAAACCGUUGAGCGGUCAAAUUAGGGGCUGAGCGGUUGUCAGUGUUUAUUAUGCAGAUUCUGUGAUCAUUCUGUUAUCUUUUUGGCCUAUAUAUAGCUCCAGUGCGACUUGAAACCCUAAUCUUUUGGCAGAGGAAGACGACACAACACUAUUUUCACACCUUGGAGGAGAUUUCUUGGAUGCUUGGGCUCCUUUUUAUCAAAUCUAGGGUUUGCUUUUCCAUUCUUCCAUUAUUUUCAUCUAGUUGCACCAUAAAAAUGGGGAACUAAAUCCUUUGUUGUUGGGGAACAAUAUAAUGUUUUGAAACUCUCAUUUAUCCAAAUUCUUAUUUAUUUCAUAUGCUUGUCAUAUACUUGUUUAUCAAUUGUUGGGUUCUCAUCUAUGCUUAAUGCUUUUAUUGUUUAACUCAUUCAGUAAAAGUGGUUUGUCUUUAUUGAUACGGGGACGUACGGUAAUGUCAUGAACUGGUGAGAAAUUCCUUGAUUAUGCUAAUACCGCCUAGGGAUAGGGGUAGGAUGAUCAAUUGUAUUUUUCUUCCAUUCACAUUGCAUUAUUGGUUACUAGGGGAGGCUAGGGAUAGCAAGCCGGUAAUUAAUAAUAGGCUCUUUUCACCAAGGGAUUGGGUUAAGGGUAGGCUAGAAAGUUUGCAUGGCAAUUGGAUAAACAAGUGAAGUAAAUAAGAAUAGUAGAUAUGUGAGAGUGGAUAAGAUGAAAUUGUAAACCCCAACAACACCAUUCAUCCAUAGUUUUUCCUCAACCAUUGAUUCACUGCAUUUGCAUGUUUAAUUCUGUUUUUGCAUUUAACAAUCAAAACUUUAUUCUUUUCUCAAGUCUUAUGAAAUUAGGUUACAUGAAAGUUAAGGACUAAGAGUCCUUUGGGAAACGAUACUCGGACUUACUCGUUUAUAUUACUUGAUAACGAUAUGUUACACUUGCUAGGGACUUAACACCAAGAUAUGAAGCCUCGUCGCCCAAGCGACGGACGUCGAUUCUGCUCGCUUAAGCCACGCUUCUGGACGUCUGGGCUUCGUGUUUUCCCUCCUUCUGGUGCCUUUUUGAGCCCUUUUAAGCGCCAUAUUCUUUGUUCUUCAUCUCUUUUUCCCGUAUUACCUCAAUCUCUGUCAAAACAAGUGGAAAAAGUCAUACAACCAUUGAAAUCAACCUCAACUCUCUUAUUCACACAAUUUAUUGAAAAAAGGGUGCUUUUAGUAUCAAAAUCGCAUAACGAAUAACGGUGUUUCAAACCAUUAUCAAAAACAUCAUGAUCAUGUUUUUACUGCUACAAAAUGAGGUACACACGCUACUCCUGAUACCAUUUUAUCUUCGAAGACAGAUUUCUCUAAUUUGAUUGAAUGGAUUACCUCCUCUUAAAAUAAGGUAAUGUAAAUUGUGUUGUAUGUCCUUUCAUCACAUCAAUCCUCAAGAUACUGCAUUGAAUAAAAGGUGAAAAAUAAUUCUCUAAGAAAAUGUUUUCUACUUUUAUUUUAAUUACAAAACUCUUUGAGUUCUCAAGAUCUUAUAGAAAAUAGUUAGUUCUUUUUCCUGUAUAAAUCUUUGAAAACUUUUAAUAGAUUAAAACAAUGUGACAUGUUUUGUGAUUAAAAAUGAAUGCAGAAAAUGUCUAGUUAAGUGAAAACAAACAACUUGAAAUGUAGUGAUGGUUUUAUUUCUGUCGGAUAGGGUUGUUGGAAAACAGGUAGGCUUCGUUUCAACACCAACAGGGGGUGAAUUAGUGAGGCCUCAAAAUCAGAGUCUUUUUAAAAUCUUUUUCACAGAGUAUAAACUUUUACAAAGUUUCUUGAAUCAUAAGGAAUGAAAAUUUCAAGUGCAGCGGAAAAUACUAAGUUGACUAUGAAAGCAGUAAAGUCGACAUAAUGUAAAACUAUAAGGACAGAGAAUUCAAACGCAGGUUUUUAUACUGGUUCGGCCUCAAUGCCUACAUCCAAUGUCCUUCCUCAAUCUAGAAGCAAAUGCACUAUAAUGGUCAAGGAUUUUACAAAAAUACUUUUAUAGAGACCUCCACGUCAAAAAUAUAAAACAUCUCUCUAACCAUCUAACCAAAAUAUAGGCAGUCCACACAACAAAGAUCUGCAACAAGAUAUCACCACGGUCUUCUUAAUGAGUUCUUGGAGAAAAUUCUCAAAUAUCACAAUCUAUAAAUCACAAAUGGAAGUGUUAGAACAUCCAAAGUCCCUCUGAUCAACUGAGGCACGUCUAUUUAUAGUUUUCUAUAAAUCAGACGCUCCUGUAGUUGACUGGACUACUAAUAGAGUCGACUGUCCUUAGACAGUUAUAACAGUUAAUUCAAACAAUAGCAGUCAACAAAAACCAAAUUGAUUUUGCAUUUAAUACAGUUGACUAUCAUACAAACUUUAACUAACUUUUGAAAAUAUAGUCAUUACUGUUCACACACAAUAAUAGAAUUUCAAACUCACAACUAAGUCGGAUCCACUGCGCAUGUAGUCGACUUAGGCUUAUCAGCACAGUUUGAAAAACUUUUCAAUGAAAAAUCAUUCACAACACUACAUUUGAAAAUUUGUGCAUAGUCACAAGUUUAAUUCGACUUACUUCAUAAUGAAGUCGACUUAAACUUGCAGUCAUGCCACACAAUAUAAGUUCAUAAAAGUGCAUGUGGUUUACUCUUCAAAAACAUGUGUAAUGCAAUAAAAAAUGGUGUAUCAGAUAUAAGCUCAGCAAAUGUGCAUUCACAUAUCAAGGUCAACACAAAACAUGUUCAAUAAGAUAUCAUCCAAUAAGAAACAGAACAUGUGACACAUAACAAAACAUGUGUUAUUAAUAAUGUGUUGUCAUCAUCAAAAACUAGAGUGAUUAAAACACAUUGAGAUUAAGGCUAGCUAAACCAGUGUUUCCCUUAUCAACAAUCUCAACAAUCUCUCCCUUUUUUAUUGACGCACAACCAUGAUUAAUAAGCAACCAUGUUUGUACACAAACCAGUACAUGUUAGAGUAAACAAAGGAUAUAUCAACAUAUUUGAGCUUAAAUUCUCUUAAUGAAAAUAGUUAUCAACAAUCACAUAUCAAGCAAUAUAAGCAUAAUCAUCAAUCACAUAUUUCUUUCACACUUUUCUCCCCCUUUGUGCAUUAGCAAAAAAGGUUUGCUUUCAGAUAUGGAUAUGCUGAUAUCAAGAAAGAGUAGAGAUGCAUCGGAAAAAAUCAAUGUUAACAGUUUAAACAUGCAGUGAUGCUCCCCCAAUCACAUAUAUUUACAUGAGAUAGAUAAACUCCCCCGUAGAAUGUAGGCAUGUGAAAAAUCUAUGCAAGCAAAUAAUGCCCCCCCUGUCAUUAUGCAUACAACAAAAUCAGAUAUAGAUGUAUAAUGUAGUCACACGAAAAUAAGAGCAUACAAUCAGUUCGUAUCAAGAUUGUAUCAGUGUUAUGAUUGCACAAUUCAAUCAAGGAAAGAUACAACUAUCAACAAUAUCACAAUAUAAUCUCAGUGGAAAAUGGUCAUAUAAGAAUAGAGAUAUAUUGAAGAAAACUGGUAUAAAAUGAUCAAACAACUUAAAAAGCAAAUUCCAAUAAAUGGAAUUUAUAAUCCUUGUAUUUGAUAAGUCAAGUUGACCAAUAACCAAGUCAAUUUCAUUGUUUUCCAGACAUAUAUGAUCCAACAGUAACUUCCAUAGCAAUGCUUCCUGCAAAACCUUUCAAAAUAUCUUGCAAAUCAAGCAAUUUAGUUAUGCAAGAAAAUAAUCAAAUAAGAAGUGAUUAUGCAAAAUAGUCAAUGUAAUAGUGAAAACAUGCAUAGUCAACUUUAAUCAAUUUAAAGUUGAUUUAACAUUCAAUCAGAACAGAUUCAAUCAAUCAAUUUAAAGCAAAUCGUAUUGAAUCAAAACACUAAUUUCAUUACUUGUUCAAAACAUAUUACAAUUGAUGAUCAGAACAAGAACAAGACAACAAAAUACAAUGGCAAUUCUAAGACAUUAGAAAAAUAAACUCAAAAUAAGAACAUAAGCAAAAUGUUAGAUUCAUGACAUAGAGCAGUAGACACACAAAAAAUCCCUAUUUUAUUUCAGACAGCUCUUCAGAAUCUUCUUCACUUGUAUCAUCAACCUCCUUUCUUUCGAACUCUUUAGAAGAAGUGGAACUUUCCACGUAAUGUUUGAUUAUUUCAUCCAUCUUCUCAUUCAAAUCCAUGAGAGACUCCUUCAUGACAUUAGUCCUCUUGAAGACAUUUUUAAUUUUUUUUGCUACAGACCUUUCAAAUUCAGAAUUGGGAGUGGCAGCUCUUGUUCGUUGUCAGAGUCGGGUAGUUCACCUCUACCUUUUGGUUGGUCUAUUUCAUCACUGAAGAUCCAUCCAAAAGCAGUUCUCAGAGUUGCUUUUCCAAUCUAAUUUGCUUUGUUACAUGUAACCUUGUUUUCACCUUUGAGAUUAACAUGGUUCAAAGCCAGUACCUUGCAUAUGAAUACACCAUAGGGGUAGCUUAUGCCGGUUAUUGAUACCUACAUCUAACAUGUGCCACUUAAAGACUUCAACCCAAUUUGUUGGUAUCCGAAGCAUUAUAGCAUUCAGCAGAUACAUGUCUUCUGAUGUUAGUUUUAUAAGAUUAUGUCUUCCUGGGAUCAAUAUAUGACCAAUAAUGUCUGCAAUAAUCUUUUCUUCUUUGUCCAACCAUUUGAAUAGAAAUACCUACUCCAUUUUAUAUCUGCUACGGUAUCUCAUGCAGUUUUUAAACAUAUUAGUUUUUCUAGUCCAUCUGUUUUGCAAACAAUCUGGUAGAUGUGAUGAUCUUCCUUAAUUUUUUAUUCCAGCAACAAGUAACCAAGUGUCAUUAUCAAUGACAAUAUCUACUCCUUUCACGCAUGAAUAAAUGUUUCCAUUAACAACUUUGAUGUUGUUGUACAAUACAUGGACAAGUUUUGGAUAGUAGUCACCAGUUAUAUGAACAAAGGUAUGCAAGCCCUGAACACCAAGUUUUUCUAGAAACAAAAAUCCUUCAUUUCAAAAUACGGAUAGGUCGAUAGACUUGUGUGCAACAACUUCUUUGACCUUUUUCUAACACAGGUAUUUUUCUCUAGCACCAUUGUCAUUAAUCCAUCCUGACGGACUAGCGUCUCUUUCAGAUGAAGGGAUCAUUUUGGAUCGUUUAGAUGAGGAGGAAAAAGCCAUUCUUCAAAGUGUCCUUAUCAGAAUUCUUUAGGGUUUGAUGUGCUACGACUUAUGUUAUGAUAAACACAUAUAUAAGGGUGCGAACAAUGCAAUACACAAAUGAGGCCCAUUUUUAAAAUUUUCAAAUUUUAAGGCCCAAAACAAAGACACUAAGUCGAUUUCGAUAAAACCAAAGUUGACUUCUAUAUGACAUAUAACUCAAAAACAGAUUCAGACAUACAGAUACACACAGUCGACAACAUUCAUAAUUCAGUCGACUAAAAGUCAUGAAAAUCAUUUUUCAAACAAAUCAUUCAAACAAACAAUCAUACAAUCAACAAACAAUCAAUUUCCACUCAAUCAAUCUAUUCAUACAUGAUGUAGUAAGCUGAAUACAUGUUACAAGUUGUAGAUACUCAAGAUGUUUGAUGUAGCUAAUGUAGUUCAUCCUUGAGUUCUCACUGCAUCUGUUUGCAAUGCUACAAAACAGUUUAAGUUUUUGUUGCAGGUACCCAUUUAAACUUGGGUCCUUGAUUGUUAGUUGAGGCCAGAUGUUCCUUAGGUAUCUACACAUAUAAACCUUUAGGAACUCCAACUCUUUUGUAGUAACAAUUUCUAACAGUGUGACCAACACAAUUACAAUAAAAACAGGCAUGCUUAAUAGGCUUGCUUAAAUCUGAAAAUUUUCUUGUAUUGGACCUAUUAGAGUUAGCUUUAAAACCAAUGUCUUGUCUUUUAAUUACUCUUCCAGCAGACUUUAAUACAACAUUCAAGUUAUCUCUACCUUGUGUGAAUUUGGCUAGCGUACUAGUCAAGUAAUCUAUUUGUUUUACAUGAGUAAGACAUUUAUCACAUGUUUUUUCUACUGUAACAGUCUCAAUUUUAACCUUUUUAGCAGACAAUAAGGCUUCAUCUAAUUCUUUCUGUAAUUUUUCAUUAUUAGUGACAAGAUUAUUGAUUUUAUAUUCAUAAUCCUUCCUAUCAGAGUUAAGUCGAUUAACCUUAUACUGGAGUCGCAUAGCUUCAACAUAAAUUUCCUUGAAAGCAUCCAACAGUAAGUCAUACUUGACUUCAAUCGGUUCUUGUUCAAACUCUGUGUCACUGUCAUAGUCGGCCAAUGAUGCUCCAACCAUGUAGCAGAUGUUAGACUCAUCUUCUUGAUCAUGAUCUUCAUCACUUGAAGAAUCCAAAUCAUUGUUUUCCCAAGCAAUAUAAGCUCAUUUUUGUUUUCUGCUAUUGUCUUGAGGAAAUCUUCUACUAAUUUUCUGCUUUGGCUUCAAGUCUGGACAAUCUAGUUUGAUAUGUCCCUUUUUUCCACAUUCAUAGCAUUGUAUAGCACUUGACCUGUGAGCUUUCUUGACUUUGUUGUGACCUGCAUGGUUAGUAAGUUGACUAUCAUUUUUCAUAAGUCGACUAAAUUUUCUUACCACCAAGGUCAUCAAUUCUUUGUCGUCCAUCUUUGCAUCUAAUUCUUCCUCUGACUUUGAGGCUUUCUUGCUUGUUACUUUCAUAGCAAUGGACUUCUUCUCUUCAAUCUCUUCUUCGUCCUUCAACCUUCCAAGUUCUAACUCAUGUUCUCUUAACUUGCUGAACAAGGUAGCCAUAUUCCUGCUUGUGAGAUUUUUGGACUUAGAGAUUGCUAUGACUUUGGGUUGCCAGUUUCUAUUCAAGCUUUUCAAAAUCUUGAUAUUGAUCUCUUCCUUAUCAAACACUUUGCCAAGAGCCAUAAGGUGAUUUACAAUGUGAGUGAAUCUUUUCUGGACUUCAUAGAUUGUUUCACCAGCCUUCAUCCUGAAAAGUUCAUACUCUUGAAUCAAAGAAUUCUUCCUUGCUCUCUUGACUUCAUUAGUGCCUUCAUGAGUGACUUCCAAGACAUCCUAAAUUUCCUUGGCAGAUUCGCAUUGAAAUAUCCUGAAAAAUUCAUCAACAGUUAGUGCAGAGGCAAUGAUAUUUCUAGCUUUAACAUCAUAUUGAGCUUUCCUAUUCUCUUCUGGAGACCAUUUAGAAAUAGCUUUUACAAUAGUUUUUCCAUCAAUAGUAUGAGUAGGCUCAAAAGGACCAUUCAAUGUUGCAUCCCAAAUUCCUCUAUGAUGGGGAAGUGCAUACCUGGAGAGAAUAGACUAUAUGACAUACAAGAGGAUUGAUAGAAAAUAAAAGCGGAAAAGAGUAGAGAAGAGGAAACUUAUGACUCGUAGACACGCCACUUAAAGAAGGCUCCAAGAUAAGUGUCGAAGAAGUACCGCCACUCGCUUUGCCCAAGAUAAGGUCUGCCCAAAAUGGACUAAAGAGACAGAGAACUAUCUCUAAGAGGAAUGCAAAUUUUCAAUUCAACUCAAGAAUUCAAUUCAUUCAAAGGGUGUGUGUGUACAAAGGAGACCCCCUAGGCUUCUUAUAUAACUUUUGGAGUGAUUUUGGAUGAUAGUUUCAAGAGAUGUGGGACUUGAAUGCCUAAGGUCUGACUAGCAACAUCCCUAGGUGUUUCUUAGUCCCACAUUGCUUAACUCUCUCAUUCCAAAAGGGUUUAUAAGCCACCUAGCUCUCCUAAAGUUCAAAAAAUGAACACAAGCUAUGCUACCUUGCGCUACAAGCUAAGACACAUUUCUUCCUCUUCUUUUUUUUAAGACCAAGCCAUGGAAAGUACCACAUUGCUUGUGCUUAAAGGAAAAGAAGGGUUUAUAAGUGUUUAUUCAACUAGAACUAACGAAAAGAAACAAAUAGGCAAAUACAAGCCCAUGAAACUUAUUCUACUCUUUUUUAUUCUUUUUGUCACUCUGAAAACUCUUCAUUGUUGCCCCAUCUAUGAUCAUAUCACUCUAUCCACAGAUUCAAGAAAUAUUUGCAUUCUAACUUUCCAAAAAGGAUAAUUUUCAGUAGCAAACAGAGGUGGUCUGUUUGUAGAUGAACCUUCACCAAAAGUUUGAAAACUGCAAGUCAUUCCCAGGUGUAUAGUUGAAUCAAAGAAAAGCGAAGUCGACUAGUUUUUCAAAUAUUUUAUGAAAACUAGCUCUGGUGCCAAUUGUUGGAAAACAGGUAGGCUUCGUGUCAACACCAAGAAGGGAGGGGGGGGAUGGGGGAUAAAUUGCUGAGGUUUCAAAAUCAAAGUCUUUUUAAAAUCUUUUUCACAAAGUAUAAACCUUUACAAAGUGUUUUGAAUCACAAGGAAUGAAAAUUUCAAGUGCAACGAAAAAUACUAAGUUGACUAUGAAAGCAGUAAAGUCGACUUAAUGUAAAAGAGCAUAUGGGUAGAGAAUUCACACACAGGUUUUUAUACUGGUUCGGCCUCAAUGCCUACAUCUAGUGUCCUUCUACAAUCCGGAAGGAAGGAAAUGCACUAUAAUGGUCAAGGUUUUUACAACAAGGCUUUUAUAGAGACCUCCACACCAAAAAUAAAAAACACCUCUCUGACCCUCUAACCAAAAUAUAAGUAGUACACACAACAAAGAUUUGCAGCAAGAUAUCCCCUCUUUUGCAAUCUUUAAACCCACUUUGAAAAAUCCUCAAAGUGUCCAAACUCCACGAGUCAACCCCUCUAUAAUCACAACAGGAACACAGCAACAAUCUUUACAAAGAUUGAUAGAAAUCUUGAUCAGCAGAUGAGCGUCGCAAUGUGCAGGGUAUCAUCAGCCAGUAAGCACAUAAAUCCUUCUCCUUCAAAGAACCUCUUCAUAGAUAGAUCACGACGGUCUUCUUGAUGAGUUCUUGGAGCAAAUUCUCAGAGAUCACAAUUUGUAAAUCACAAAUGAAAGUGUUAGAACGUCCAAAGUCCCUGUGAUCAAUUGAGGCACGUCUAUUUAUAGUUUUCUAUAAAUCAGACGCUCCUGUAGUCGACUAGGCUACUAAUAGAGUCAACUGUCCUUAGACUGUUAUAACAGUUAAGUCAAACAGUAGCAGUCAACAACAACCAAAUUGAUUAUGCAUUUAAUACAGUUGACUAUCAUAAAAGCUUUAACUAACUUUUGAAAAUAUAGUCAUUACUGUUCACACACAUUAACAAAAUUUCAAACACACAACUAACUAAAUCAAAUCCACUGCGCAUCGACUUAGGCUUAUCAGCACAGUUUGAAAAAAUUUUCAAUGCAAAAUCACUCACAAGUUUAAUUCAACUUACUUCAUAAUGAAGUCGACUUAAACUUGCAGUCAUGCCACACAAUAUAAGUUCGUAAAAGUGCAUGUGGUUUUCUCUUCAAAAACAUGUGUAAUGCAAUAAAAUAUGAUGUAUCAGAUGCUUAGCAAAUGUGCAUUCACAUAUCAAGAUCAACACAAAACAUGUUCAAUAAGAUAUCAUCCAAUAAGAAACAGAACAUGUGACACAUAACAAAACAGUUAUUAAUAAUGUGUUGUCAUCAUAAAAAACCAGAGUGAUUAAAGCACUGUGAGAUUAAGGUUAGCUAAAUCAGUGCUUCCCUUAUCAACAAUCUCAACAAGGGUUUGGAGCAUGUAUGAGGACAAAUGAAAUAUGUUCUGAUCAAAUGAAGAUAAAGUAGAGAAAACGGAUGUUGCAUAUCCGUUUAAGCCUGAAACAGAUGUUGGAUAUGCAACAUCCGUAAAUGGCCAAGUCGCAUAUCUCGUAGACCCAAGUCAUGAAGCACCACUGACCACCGCACGCACCGUCCAACUGUUGCACCGCUGCACUAAUGCACUACCUAAUGACCACUGCAAACACUCCAUACCGGUGCACCAUGAAACCCAAACGAUGGAGACAAGAAACAAACGAACAAAUAUGAAAGAGAAAUAACGGAUCUGAGAGUUAAAGGGAGUGGGAACAUAUCUGAGAGUUGGAGUGAAUGAGAACGGAUCUGAGAGAGGGUGGGAAUAUGGAAACAAAGAAAAAAGAUGUGAAACUUGAAGAGGCGGGUGGGGUUGCAUUGUGAAAAUAAGUGAGUGAAUAUGAAUUGAAAAUUAGGGUUUUAGAAAAAUAAAAUAAAUAAGUAAAUAAACGGGAUUAAAAAGUAAAAAAAGUUAAUUUUUUAAUUAAAAAAUUUUAUAGAAAAUUGGGGAGGUGGAAGGAGCGUGGUAAUGUAGGGAGCAACACCCAAAGUUAAAUGACUUUCGGAUUUUGGAUCCAUAAGUUAUUUAUUUGAAAAAAAAAUGACUUUAAAUGUACAAUUUAAAAAGGGUAAAAUAAAAAAAAAUGCACAAGACUGCAAGAAGAAAGUUGUGGAAGGUUCUGGAAGAAUUUGUCUCAUUUGUAAUAGCUGAUAUAUAGAAUUUGAAGGAGGUAUUAUAGUGGUUUAAUUGUAUAAAUUUUAUUGGGUGUUGUUCCCUCUACCUCUCCAAGUGGGUCUUGCACCUCCCCACUAUUUUAAUUUAUUUUAAAAAUAUUUUACACCUCUCUACUAUUUUCUUUUAUUCCAAAAAUACUCUACAUCUCCCCACUAUCCUUAACCAUCUUUCUCUUUCUCUCUCUACAUUAAUGGAGCAUUUACAUGGUUGAUAUUUGAAUUUAGGAUAUAUUACAAAAUAUAAAAUUAAGAGGAAACUUCAAUAUUAGUACUUCCACCAUUUCCAUUUUAUAAAAUUAAAAGUUAGAUNNNNNNNNNNNNNNNNNNNNNNNNNNNNNNNNNNNNNNNNNNNNNNNNNNNNNNNNNNNNNNNNNNNNNNNNNNNNNNNNNNNNNNNNNNNNNNNNNNNNNNNNNNNNNNNNNNNNNNNNNNNNNNNNNNNNNNNNNNNNNNNNNNNNNNNNNNNNNNNNNNNNNNNNNNNNNNNNNNNNNNNNNNNNNNNNNNNNNNNNNNNNNNNNNNNNNNNNNNNNGUGAGUUAAAACAUAAUAUAAUGUUAAAAAUUAUAGAUAUUAUAUGUAAAAAAAACACACACAUAUAUAUAAACAUUUUUCUAGAAAUUUAGAACAAAAUUAUACCAUUUAUUAAGUAAUUUGAAAAGAAAAAAAUAUAUUCAAUAGCAAAAAUAAAAUUGAAUCAAACUUAUUUAAGAAAAUAUAUCACAAGUUCAAAUUUGAGUCAUUUAAAUGCUCCAUUAAUGAGCCAUGUAGAUGUUCCAUUAAUGUAGAAAGAGAAAGAGAAAAAUGAUUAAGGACAGUGGAGAAGUGUAGAGUAUUUUUGGAAUAAAAGAAAAUAGUAGAGAUGUGUAAAAUAUUUUUGAAAUAAAUUAAAACAGUGGAGAGGUACAAGACCCACUUAAAGAGGAAGGGAGCAACACCUUUAUUUACAGUGGGAUAGAAAGUGAUUAUAUAAUGAGAACAAGUGAAGAAGGCAUGAUCCUCCCCAAACACUUUCCAUCCAUGGGAGCCACUCUCAUCGGAAGGUUGAAACCUUCCACAAGGUUGAUGCCCUCCCGCUAAUCAAACUCUACCAGAGUAAUUAGUGAGGCGAGGUAUGUGCCGACGCAUUCUACCGUUAACGUUCCGUAGUCACCGAUGACAUAUGAAAACUUGCCUGUGACGUCGAUGGAGCAAAGGGUCCAACCCCACAAUCGGUCGGAACAAGCGGGAGGCACAUGGAGAGUGUUGGAGUCACCUGGUAGAAGGGCGAAGCCACCGUUGAAGAGUAGCAAGAUUCCGGCGCCGGAUAAAGGAGAGAGGAGUGAAAGAGUUUGGAAUUGAAGAAUUUGUAAGGAGUUUGAGAGGAGAGCGACCAAUAUGUGGAAGCUAGACAAAUGAUAGAUAAGUGUGAAUGAAAUAUCUAUCAUCCAUACUAUCAUAGGAAAGAAACCCAACCUAUCACAGACCAAACAAAAGCGCCAAUCUCCACAAUAGCUCCACAAUAGAUGCACCCCACGAGCGAAGCACCACCAACACACUACCACCGCACCAAAACACAACCAAGGCACUCAAAUGGAGAAGAAAAAAAGCAAGGAAGUGGAAACGAAUUUGGAAAAUGGUAGGAGGAGAAACGGAUACGAAAAGAAAGAGAGAAAGUGAUGAAACUCAGGGCUGUCAAUGACAGCUAUAUUUAUUGGACGAAGGUAUAAAUAGCAACUGAGGAGAGUGGAAAUAGCGAUUCCAAUUUCAAGUUAUCCUUACUGCUGGUCCAAAUAAAAAUAUUUGUUAAACUAGUGAGGCCUUUUCUUCCUGCGCCCCUCUAAAAUCGUACAUUCCAAUUUUACCCUCUUCCUCUCCCUCAUUGUUCUCCCCAUUCAUCGCACCAGGACCAGUACACACCCCUAACAUUUUUUCUUCACCAUUCUUUUACAUCCAUCUUCACCUCCAUACGCGACCAUCAUCUUCCUCACCAC